GAGUUUGAUCGUGGCUCAGAUUGAACGCUGGCGGCAUGCCUUACACAUGCAAGUCGAACGGCAGCAUGAUCUAGCUUGCUAGAUUGAUGGCGAGUGGCGAACGGGUGAGUAAUACAUCGGAACGUGCCCUGUAGUGGGGGAUAACUAGUCGAAAGAUUAGCUAAUACCGCAUACGACCUGAGGGUGAAAGUGGGGGACCGCAAGGCCUCAUGCUAUAGGAGCGGCCGAUGUCUGAUUAGCUAGUUGGUGGGGUAAAGGCCCGACCAAGGCGACGAUCAGUAGCUGGUCUGAGAGGACGAUCAGCCACACUGGGACUGAGACACGGCCCAGACUCCUACGGGAGGCAGCAGUGGGGAAUUUUGGACAAUGGGCGAAAGCCUGAUCCAGCAAUGCCGCGUGUGUGAAGAAGG
rnacentral:rRNA from 1 species